rnacentral:lncRNA from 1 species
GCUGGCUAGGUCUCUACGAAGAGACAUUGAAGAUUGGGUUAAGGCUUCCACUUCAUCUCUUUAUUAUCCAAAUCUUCAGGCAUUAUAGCAUUAUUCUGACUCUCCUAGAUCCAAAUGCUUAGAAGUUCUAUCCCAUUGGUUUUUUCGGCCGCUACUAUGCUGCUGGAAAAAAUAAUGUUUCAAUAGCAAUUUUUGUCAGAAUUUAGUAGUAUUUUUUCUUAGCUAUAGAAACUUUCACUAGCGGU